UACGGGGGGGGCAAGCGUUGUUCGGAAUUACUGGGCGUAAAGGGCGCGUAGGCGGGUGGACAAGUCUCGCGUGAAAGCCCGCGGCUCAACCGUGGAAUUGCGGGAGAUACUGUCUGUCUUGAGUCCGGGAGAGGGGGGUGGAAUUCCCAGUGUAGCGGUGAAAUGCGUAGAUAUUGGGAGGAACACCGGUGGCGAAGGCGGCUCUCUGGACCGGUACUGACGCUGAGGCGCGAAAGCUAGGGGAGCAAACGGG
rnacentral:rRNA from 1 species